rnacentral:rRNA from 1 species
CCUACGGGCCGCAGCAGUGGGGAAUAUUGCACAAUGGGCGCAAGCCUGAUGCAGCCAUGCCGCGUGUAUGAAGAAGGCCUUCGGGUUGUAAAAUACUUUCAGCGGGGAGGAAGGUGUUGUGGUUAAUAACCGCAGCAAUUGACGUUACCCGCAGAAGAAGCACCGGCUAACUCCGUGCCAGCAGCCGCGGUAAUACGGAGGGUGCAAGCGUUAAUCGGAAUUACAGGGCGUAAAGCGCACGCAGGCGGUCUGUCAAGUCGGAUGUGAAAUCCCCGGGCUCAACCUGGGAACUGCAUUCGAAACUGGCAGGCUAGAGUCUUGUAGAGGGGGGUAGAAUUCCAGGUGUAGCGGUGAAAUGCGUAGAGAUCUGGAGGAAUACCGGUGGCGAAGGCGGCCCCCUGGACAAAGACUGACGCUCAGGUGCGAAAGCGUGGGGAGCAAACAGGAUUAGAUACCCCAGUAG